CCAGAAGGGAAGCAGAUGAAGGCACCCUCCUUCCAGAGACACCCUAUCUAUGAAGGACACCCUUACAAAACACUGGAAUGUGUUGCUAACAAAGGGAAGCUGUUCCAGAAGAAGGUUUUCAGUGUUAUCUUUUGUUGUUGAAUAUAGGAAAGACUGUGGCAGUUCUGCUUCUACAGUAAUGGCGAAGGCACGCCAUCUCAUAGUCCAGCUUUUCACUGAAGAUGUGAGUGACUUGAAUGGCCUAAUUAUUUAUUAUAUAUUAAAUACAGGUACUGCUUUUAAU